rnacentral:misc_RNA from 1 species
GAUGAAGAACGUAGCGAAAUGCGAUAAGUAAUGUGAAUUGCAGAAUUCAGUGAAUCAUCGAAUCUUUGAACGCACCUUGCGCCCUUUGGCUAUUCCGAAGGGCAUGCCUGUUUGAGUAUCAUGAACACCUCAACUCUCAUGGUUUGCCAUGAUGAACUUGGACUCUGGGGGUCUUGCUGGCCUAUGGUCAGCUCCUCUCAAAUAAAUCAGCUUGCCAGUGUUUGGUGGCAUCACAGGUGUGAUAACUAUCUACGCUUGUGGUUUUCCAUCAGGUAACCUUCAGUGAUGGAGGUUCGCUGGAGCUCAUAAAUGUCCCUCCUCAGCGAGGACAGCUUUUUGAACAUUUGAUCUCAAAUCAGGUAGGACUACCCGCUGAACUUAAGCAUAUCAAUAAGCGGAGGA